rnacentral:rRNA from 1 species
AUUGAACGCUGGCGGCAGGCCUAACACAUGCAAGUCGAACGAGUGGCGGACGGGUGAGUAAUGUCUGGGAAACUGCCCGAUGGAGGGGGAUAACUACUGGAAACGGUAGCUAAUACCGCAUACCAUCGGAUGUGCCCAGAUGGGAUUAGCUAGUAGGUGUGGUAAGGGCUCACCUGGGCGACGAUCCCUAGCUGGUCUGAGAGGAUGACCAGACACACUGGAACUGAGAGACGGUCCAGACUCCGACGUGAGGCAGCAGUGGAGAAUAUUGCACAGUGGGCGCAAGCCUGAUGUAGCCAUGCCGCGUGUAUGAAGAAGGCCUGCGGGUUGUAAGGUACUUUCAGCGAGGAAGCGUUACUCGCAGAAGAAGCACCGGCUAACUACGUGCCAGCAGCCGCGGUAAUUC